AUUGAACGCUGGCGGCAGGCCUAACACAUGCAAGUCGAACGAGUGGCGGACGGGUGAGUAAUGUCUGGGACACUGCUUUAUGGCGGGGGUUAACUACUGGAAACGGUAGCUAAUACCGCAUACCAUCCGAUGUUCGCUGAUGGGAUUAGCUAGUUGGUGGGGUAACGGCUCACCAAGGCAACGAUCCCUAGCUGGUCUGAGAGGAUGACCGGCCACACUGGAACUGAGACACGGUCCAGACUCCUACGGGAGGCAGCAGUGGGGAAUAUUGCACAAUGGGCGCAAGCCUGAUGCAGCCAUGCCGCGUGUAUGAAGAAGGCCUUCGGGUUGUAAAGUACUUUCAGCGGGGAGGCGUUACCCGCAGAAGAAGCACCGGCUAACUCCGUGCCAGCAGCCGCGGUAAUUC
rnacentral:rRNA from 1 species